GACGAACGCUGGCGGCGUGCUUAACACAUGCAAGUCGAACGGAAAGGCCCUGCUUUUGUGGGGUGCUCGAGUGGCGAACGGGUGAGUAACACGAGAGUAACCUGCCCUUGACUUUGGGAUAACUUCAGGAAACUGGGGCUAAUACCGGAUAGGAGCUCCUGCUGCAUGGUGGGGGUUGGAAAGUUUCGGCGGUUGGGGAUGGACGCGCGGGUUAUCAGCUUGUUGGUGGGGUAGUGGCUGACCAAGGCUUUGACGGGUAGUCAGCCUGAGAAGGUGACCUGCGACAUUGGGACUGAGAUAGGGCCCAGUCUGGUACCGGCGGCAGCAGGGGGGAAUAUUGCAGAAUAGCCUGGAGCCUGAUGCCACGACGCCGGGUGCGGGAUGACCGCCUACGGGGUGACAACCGCUUUCGCCUGUGACAAGGCGUGCGUGACGGUAAUUGGUAAAGAAGCACCGGCUAACUACGUG
rnacentral:rRNA from 1 species